rnacentral:rRNA from 1 species
GACGAACCGUGCGACCGUUAUUCGGAAUCACUGGGCUUAAAGGGCGCGUAGGCGGGCUGACAAGUCUGGGGUGAAAUACCACGGCUCAACCGUGGAACUGCCUUAGAUACUGUCGGCCUCGAGGGAGGUAGGGGCGUGCGGAACUGUAGGUGGAGCGGUGAAAUGCGUUGAUAUCUACAGGAACUCCGGUGGCGAAAGCGGCGCGCUGGACCUCUUCUGACGCUGAGGCGCGAAAGCUAGGGGAGCAAACGGG